rnacentral:lncRNA from 1 species
CUACAAUAACAUAUAGUGCGAUUCUGGUAGAGUAUCCUUAAAAAAAGAAAAAAAGAAAAAACAGUUUUCAAGCUUAUUUUAUGGUGGUUCAGGCUUCUCAGUGCGUACUUUUUUUUUUUCAGGGAGCUGCAGGCCUGUCCUGUUGGGCAAUGGGGCUGUGAACUGAUGCUGGUGGGAUUCCUGCGUUGGGCAAUGGAAGCGUUAAUCCAACAGUCAGGAGGUGUGGUUGUGAAAGAGCCCAGCUGGGCCCUUAGUACACACCAACAGAAGGAUAUGGAACAACCACGUAGUUGCAUGGAGCUGCAGUUGCACCACUUCCUCCCCUCUAACAAGAUAGGGCUCAAAGGAAGCAAUCAAGUAUCUGCAGGCUGCUUGCUUUCUCCUGCAGCUCUGAUAAGAGAAUCCUGCUUGUUUGCAAGGCCCUGCUUGGACACACGGCUUUGGUUUAGCAGCAGUAACAUGUAAAGGGAGAGAGUCAUGGCCUUGGCAAACCUCUGGUCCCAAAGCCUUUGUGUUUGGGGUGGCUGGUGAGUGCUCUUGGGGGGGAGGAGGGGGAAGAAAACCUCUUGUAUUGGACAACAUCAGGCAGGGAAGAUCGUGUGCCCGGCCUGCACGACUCUGCUCGGAGCUCCCAGCAGAGGGUGCAGCUGCUUCUCGAGUCUGCACAGCUGAUCCCGAGGGUGUGCUCAGCCCUCACUUCCCUUUAUUUUAAAAGAAAAAAAGAAGGGAAGAAGAGAUUUCAGGGGCUUUCUGCUGUCUGAAAACUGGAAUUAUUUAAUGCCCACAUCUCUCUAUUUCAGAGAAAUGUGUAACAGUGUUAUUGAAGAGUUCCUAGAAUGAUCUAUAUGCAGCUGCGUGGAAUGCCUAUCAGUAGACAGCAGGGCAAGCAGUGGACAGGAGGUUUGUUCUCAGAGUCUGCACAGUGUUUGUAACAAGGGUAGGGCAUUGCUUUCCCUGUGUUAAGAUCUCUUAUAUGACCACAGACCCGGGCCUGAUGCUGGAGGCUGAGCGGUUCAGGGCUGUGUUACUCUCAUAGCAGUGGGCUUUGUGCUGAGCUCACUCGCUGGCAAGCAGUGUGAUGCAAAUGCCAGAGCUCCAGCAGGUUCCUGACCCCCUUUGCAGUGGUGCAGGAUUUAUUUAUUUUACAGCGCUGGUUAUGAUUGACAGCAAUUGGCAUGGGAAUAAUGAGGACUGCAAAAGUCAUCUGAUGGCUUGCAAAACCUCCUCUGCAAAUAUUCAACAUGCAAACAGUACAUCUCAGAUGGGAAUGGGGAUUUCAUGGUCUUUUUAAGACCUGGAACAUGAACUGAG